rnacentral:rRNA from 1 species
GAACAACUCUCAGCAACGGAUAUCUUGGCUCCUGCAACGAUGAAGAACGCAGCGAAAUGCGAUACGUAGUGUGAAUUGCAGAAUUCCGCGAAUCAUUGAGUCUUUGAACGCAAGUUGCGCCCGAGGCUUGACCAAGGGCAUCUCUGCCAGAGCGUCACC